rnacentral:rRNA from 1 species
GACAGAGGAUGCAAGCGUUAUCCGGAAUGAUUGGGCGUAAAGCGUCUGUAGGUGGCUUUUUUUAAGUCCGCCGUCAAAUCCCAGGGCUCAACCCUGGACAGGCGGUGGAAACUACCAAGCUGGAGUACGGUAGGGGCAGGAGGGAAUUUCCGGUGGAGCGGUGAAAUGCGCAGAUAUCAGGAAGAACACCCGUGGCUAAGGCGGCUCUCUAGUACGGUACUGACGCUGAGACGCGAAAGCGUGGGGAGCGAACAGG